UACGGGGGGAGCAAGCGUUGUUCGGAAUUACUGGGCGUAAAGGGCUCGUAGGCGGCCAACUAAGUCAGACGUGAAAUCCCUCGGCUUAACCGGGGAACUGCGUCUGAUACUGGAUGGCUUGAAUUCGGGAGAGGGAUGCAGAAUUCCAGGUGUAGCGGUGAAAUGCGUAGAUAUCUGGAGGAAUACCGGUGGCGAAGGCGGCGAUCUGGGUCGAUACUGACGCUGAGGUGCGAAAGCGUGGGGAGCAAACAGG
rnacentral:rRNA from 1 species